rnacentral:rRNA from 1 species
GCAGCAGUGAGGAAUAUUGGUCAAUGGGCGAGAGCCUGAACCAGCCAAGUAGCGUGAAGGAUGACUGCCCUAUGGGUUGUAAACUUCUUUUAUAAAGGAAUAAAGUCGGGUAUGCAUACCCGUUUGCAUGUACUUUAUGAAUAAGGAUCGGCUAACUCCGUGCCAGCAGCCGCGGUAAUACGGAGGAUCCGAGCGUUAUCCGGAUUUAUUGGGUUUAAAGGGAGCGUAGAUGGAUGUUUAAGUCAGUUGUGAAAGUUUGCGGCUCAACCGUAAAAUUGCAGUUGAUACUGGAUAUCUUGAGUGCAGUUGAGGCAGGCGGAAUUCGUGGUGUAGCGGUGAAAUGCUUAGAUAUCACGAAGAACUCCGAUUGCGAAGGCAGCCUGCUAAGCUGCAACUGACAUUGAGGCUCGAAAGUGUGGGUAUCAAACAGGAUUAGAUACCCUGGUAGUCCACACGGUAAACGAUGAAUACUCGCUGUUUGCGAUAUACUGCAAGCGGCCAAGCGAAAGCGUUAAGUAUUCCACCUGGGGAGUACGCCGGCAACGGUGAAACUCAAAGGAAUUGACGGGGGCCCGCACAAGCGGAGGAACAUGUGGUUUAAUUCGAUGAUACGCGAGGAACCUUACCCGGGCUUAAAUUGCAGAUGAAUUACGGUGAAAGCCGUAAGCCGCAAGGCAUCUGUGAAGGUGCUGCAUGGUUGUCGUCAGCUCGUGCCGUGAGGUGUCGGCUUAAGUGCCAUAACGAGCGCAACCCUUGUUGUCAGUUACUAACAGGUUCCGCUGAGGACUCUGACAAGACUGCCAUCGUAAGAUGUGAGGAAGGUGGGGAUGACGUCAAAUCAGCACGGCCCUUACGUCCGGGGCUACACACGUGUUACAAUGGGGGGUACAGAGGGCCGCUACCACGCGAGUGGAUGCCAAUCCCCAAAACCUCUCUCAGUUCGGACUGGAGUCUGCAACCCGACUCCACGAAGCUGGAUUCGCUAGUAAUCGCGCAUCAGCCACGGCGCGGUGAAUACGUUCCCGGGCCUUGUACACACCGCCCGUCAAGCCAUGGGAG